CAUUACCCUUGAAGCUCAUCCUUGUUUACACAAGGGAUGCACCCAAGUAGAGGGCCUUCAAGUCACCUCCUAGCUCCUUGGAUCUUCCUUGUGAUUUCCUUCCUUUUUGAUGCUCCUUUGCUCCUUGAGGAUGUGAGGAAAGGAUCUCCAAAAACACCAAAGGUUUGGUGUCUCUAAGUCUCCACACCAAGGAUGAGGUGUGAAGAUGAAAUGGAUGACUUAGAGAAGAAAAGAUUGCUAGCUAUUUCUUCCCUAUGUGGCUAGCCUCCUUGUAGAGAAAAAGAGAG
rnacentral:lncRNA from 1 species